GAGAAAAUAUUUUUUCGUAUUCGAUAAGUAAUACUUUGAUUAAAUUUAAUUAAGUAGUUUUUAUUUUUUUCUCAAUUCCUUUUAGAACACUGUAUUGCGCAAGACGUUUGAUGGCGACACUGAAAGGACCCGAAAAAUUCGCGCUGCUCCAAGUCCUACCCCACCUGAUUUAAGUAAAAUACACGACAGUGUAUUUUCAAAUUCGGAAGAUAUGUAUCACUCAUUUUAUUACGAUGUAAGAAAUAGGGGUGACUUAAGUACUUUACAGUAUUUAGAUUUAGAUCAUAAUACUUCCACCGAGUUGGAUAAUAAUAAGAGUGCAAAAAAUCAACCGUUAAGAUCACCGGGUGCUAGCACUGUGUACAAAAAGGUAGAUUUUAUGAAGACGGAAGCAUUUAACAUGACUAGACAGCAUUUAGAGAAAGAACGAGGCGAACCAAUUGCAUUUAAGAAAUAAAUAGUGACUUAUUUAACAAGAUUUAAACUUCAAUUUUUAGUGUUUUUAUUUUAACAAUUUUACGGUUUUAUAUGUUAAAACAUAUCUUUUUAUAUACCUAGUGCAAUUGAUAAAAUAAAAUUUUGAUCAUUUUUC